UUGCAUCUCCUCAAGCAUUUGUCCUUUGUAUUACAAACAAUCUAAUUACACUAUUUUAAUGUGUGUGUGUUUUUUUUUUUGAGAUGGCGUUUCGCUCUUGUUGCCCAGGAUGGAGUGCGAUGGCGUGAUCUCAGCUCACCACAACCUCCGCCUCCCAGGUUCAAGCGAUUCUCCUGCCUCAGCCUCCCUAGUAGCUGGGACUACAGGCAUGUGCCACCACGCCUGGCUAAUUUUGUAUUUUUAGUAGAGAUGGGGUUUCUCCAUGUUGGUCAGG
rnacentral:lncRNA from 10 species